AGUUUUAUUUUUUUUUCACUUACUAUUUAUUCUGAGCAACAGAAUGCCUAUCAUUUGAAACAUACUGUCGUGGUGGGCAGCAUUCUAAAUAAACAUUUGGCUAAUUUUAUUUCAUCAGCAGAACAAAAUGAUACGAUAGGGUUUUGGGGGAGGGGGUUUGUUUUGUUUUUGAGACAGGUUCUCAUGAGUCCAGGCUGGCUUUGAACUUCCUACGUACGCAAGGAUGACCUUGAAUUUCUGAUCCUUCUGCCCUCGCCUCCCAAAUGCUGGGAUGACAGCACCAGGCUCUCAGUAUGAUAGACAUGAAUAGCUUCCUUUUCCUAGUGACACCAAAGGAAAUGUAAGUGACUUGGUUGAGCACGAUACUCUCGGGUAAUUAAUAUCUUAAGUUUCCACAUAUAAUCUUUAAUUUUUGUUUCAUUAUUACUUACUGUAGGCUUUGCUUUUUUUUUUUUUUUUUUUUUUUUUUUUUUUGGUUCUUUUUUUCGGAGCUGGCGACCAAACCCAGGGCCUUGCGCUUCCUAGGCAAGCGCUCUACCACUGAGCUAAAUCCCCAACCAGGCUUUGCUUUUUAACACUAAUGCUGGUCCACCUUUUCUUUCCUUGGGUAAGUCUGGUGAUUAAGAGGGCUGGGAGAGCAGUGGUCACUAUCAUCUGAGUCUGGUACAAACCAGUAUUUGUUUGGACCUACCGUGCUGUGCCUUCUCCAGGAACACAAGGGAAGAAAAGACACUUGGCUUCACGGUCUCGUGGGAGAUACAGCCAGCAAGUGGCAGUGACAAGACAGGUGGUAACUUCAGAGCUCUGGGUGCCGUGGGAACAGGGUGGGAAGCUUGCCCACCAUUGUCGUGCCUCAAGAACAGCUGCCAAUUAAGACCAAGGAAGACAAUGUCUGGAAGGUCUGGACACACCUGCUGUGACAAAGGGGACAUGUUAACACCUCCUCAUCCCCCCACUUAAAGACCAGAGGACAAUUUGGCCCAGAAACCCCCCAACUCUGGCAGCCUCUGAUUUCCCAGCACCAGAGCCAUAAACUCCUGGGUUUCAGUUUGGC
rnacentral:lncRNA from 1 species